UCUCUGACAAAAGCCUUUUCUUUUCUGAUUCUUUCUCCAACAUCUCCCUCUCCCGCCAAAACUGCCUCCUUUUAUAGCCUCUCCUGCCUCGGCCUACCUCCUUUCUCUUCCGGAUCUUGUGCCAGAGACGGUUUUUCUUGCUCUGAGUUUUAAGCCACUUUCAUUCUUCAGGUCUGGCUUUCCUUUCGGAGAGACAUCUGAAAGAACAGUGCUUUCCUUCUGGAUAAAGGGACUCGUUAAUGUUACAGAAAUAUUACUGAAAACUGAAGGACCAAAAGAUCCAUUGUCGAAGUCAUCAGUUUUUUCCAAAGUUACAAAAGCCUGCCUUCUGUUCACCACUACCUGUAGUGUGGCUGAAAUUAUAUCACUAGAAGAAGACUUACCAUGCUGUGUAUUACUACACAGCAGCAGAUGCUGAUGAAGUCUCUUUCAAAGAUGGUGAUGCAAUUGUCAACAUCCAAGCCGUAGAUGAAGGAUGGAUGGAUGGAACUGUGCAAAGAACAGGCAAAACAAGCAUGCUUCCAGCCAACUACGUAGAAGCGGUUUAAAUGGAGGAGACCACAUGGACAAUAGGAAGGCCCUUUAUGCCACAUCAGUUCAGUACAGCUCAUAACAGUUGCCAAAGAUCCUUAUUAUUUUAUUUCUCUUGAUACAUGUGAAGAAUUGUCUGGCAUCUAGAACUUUCAGGAAACAUUAUCCAUCCUAGUUUGACUAGGUAUCUAAACGAGAGUUUUGGAUACCUGAAAUUCAGUAUGCCAUCCCUCCGGCUGAAUUUGUAUGAUUCAGUCUAUUUUCAUGAAACAAUGAAUUGUAUUGGUUUAUGUGGUUUUUCUUCUCAAGAGAUGCAGUGAUCUCACAUGAUAGUCUAAACCCAGCUGAAUGUAUCCAUGUCUGUUUCUAUAUAUAACAUCUUAAACAAGUCAAAGUGCAAAGCCUUUCUUCUGCUCUACUUAGAGAACGCUGAUGCAUGCAUUUUAAUCUGAGUGUUCUUGGGUUGCAGUGCU